UGCGGGUGAGCUCGGGUGAGCUGCGGGUGAGCGCGGGUGAGCUGCAGGUGAGCUGCGGGUGAGCUGCGGGUGAGCACAGGUGCGCUCGGGUGCGCGCGGGUGAGCUGCGGGUGAGCUGCAGGUGAGCACAGGUGCGCUCGGGUGCGCUCGGGUGAGCGCGGGUGAGCUGCGGGUGAGCUGCAGGUGAGCACAGGUGCGCUCGGGUGCGCUCGGGUGAGCGCGGGUGAGCGCGGGUGAGCUGCGGGUGAGCACAGGUGCGCUCGGGUGAGCACAGGUGCGCUCGGGUGAGCUGCAGGUGAGCUGCGGGUGAGCGCGGGUGAGCACGGGUGAGCGCGGGUGAGCUGCGGGUGAGCGCGGGUGCGCUCGGGUGAGCUGCGGGUGAGCGCGGGUGAGCUGCAGGUGAGCUGCGGGUGAGCGCGGGUGAGCACGGGUGAGCACGGGUGAGCUGAUGAUGAGCUGCGGGUGAGCACAGGUGCCCUCGAGUGAGCGCGGGUGAGCUGCAGGUGAGCUCGGGUGAGCGCGGAUGAGCUGCAGGUGAGCUCGGGUGAGCGCGGAUGAGCUGCAGGUGAGCGCGGGUGAGCUGCGGGUGAGCUCGGGUGAGCACAGGUGCGCUCGGGUGAGCUCGGGUGAGCUCGGGUGAGCACAGGUGCGCUCGGGUGAGCUCGGGUGAGCUCGGGUGAGCUGCGGGUGAGCGCGGGUGAGCUGCGCUGCGGUCGAGCUGCGGGCAGGGUUUGCUGUCCGCUCCCCAUCGCCGCUAGGCUGCAGCAGCUCAAAGCAGAAGCGCCGGCACCUCCCGGCCUCGCACAGUUCGUGUUCGGGGCUUUCGACUCUCCCUUUUGACUUCCCAGUCGUAAAAAGCUUCUUUCAGUCUAAAACUCACCUCCUUCUACGGCAAUUGUGCUUUUAACCCCCUGUUGGUUAAUUGUUCCUACUAGAG